CUAAUUUUUGAGGCAAAAUUAGUUAUCCCCUGUAAAUAAAUAAAGAGUGGUUUUGGUGAUUGUCCCUUAAAAGGAUUUCUCAAGAGAAAUAAAGGAGGUUAGUGGUGGAUUCAAAAAAUAGAAGAUAUCCAAGGUGAUUCAAACUAAAAAAGAGGAGUCUAGUACAAGCAAGGGCGAAGAGAAGUCAAGACUAAAAAAGAGGAGUCUAGUACAAGCAAGGGUGAAGAGAAGUCAAGAACUGGAGGUAUAGUUACCAGAAUACUAUCAGGAAUGAAGGAUUCUUCUUCUAUAAAUAGGAGUAAUUAAGAGAGAGAGAUCACCUAAGGAAGAAGUAUAGAGUUUAACGUCAGUAUCAAGCAGCAUUUGGCAUGAUUCUCAAUCAAGUUUGCAAGUUUCCCCUUAAGAAGACGUUGGAUAUAGGAAGGAAGUGAGGACCUGCAUUGUAAUUUGAUGAAGAGGUGUGAUUCUAGAAAUUCUGCUUUGGAGUGGUUAUAGUUCUCAUUGAGACAUUGACAAUUCUAUCGAUGGUAACCUAAACGAGAUUAAGACUAUGGAGCCCACAAAGUAUUAACUUGGUGCAAGUUGCCCCUCAAGAAAUACAAAUGAAUCUCUUUCGAUUGGACAAUUAUCUUACAUGUGUGAACAGAUAGUUGCAAAUCUAAAAACACUAAAAGCCUGUCAACUAUAAUUAUUUUUCUUCUGGCGAGGAAGAUCCUUUUAGAAAACUUAGUCUUCUAUAGGUAAUGCUGCAAGAACUGUUAUGUAAGUUUUUAUUCUUAUCCUCUCAUACCAAUAAUCAAUUAAUGAAUUCCAUUGCAUCAUUGCUCAGA